GUUUCUCUACUGACUUUGUAUCAUUUAGGGGUAUUUCCUUCUGUUUUCUCCCCAGUUUUUUCGUUAUGGGUUGAUUUGUGUGCUGAAUGAUUAUUAGAACAUGUGAUAGUCAAAGGAAGAAAGUUUGUUUCUGGAAAUUCAAGUAAGAAAAAUCUGGAGAAAAUGAUUUUGUCGUGUUGGGUUCUAGAGAAAAGGGAGAAAAAUUAUGUGCAAUGUGUGAGUAAUAAAGGAAAUCAGAAAAGAAUAAGGAAAAAUAGGUAGAAAUCGAGUUUAGACCUGUAACAUCAUGUUGAUUAUGGAUUUAAUUCUACAUGAUGUCCAUAAGUGUAGUUGGUUUGUGUAGUGUUAAGUAGACAAACUGAAGAAAAUCGAUAUAUGUUUUGCUAAUGAUCUGUGGGCAGAAUUUUAGUAUGCUUAGGUGGUGGACACUUCAAGGAUGAAGGCCGGAGUACGUUUGUUGAUGCACUGCAGAUAAGUUGGUGUGUGGUGAUGUCUUAGUUGUUAGUACUCGGAUGGACCUCAACCUUCAUUCUUUAAUCUUUGCUAAGAAGGGUUGUGAGUGCACCUGCUCAUUGUAUUGAGAAGAAGUUUGCUUUUGGCUUUAGCUCUUAGCAAAGUGCAAAAUAAAUGAUCAGUAAGGAACCAAGGACUAUAUCCAUUUACCCGAAUAACGAAAAACAUCAAAUUCAUAAUCAAGUUUCUAAUUGGAUUCAGUGAAUUUGAGUUUUAAAUUUUUUUUGGGUGAAUACAGUGAAUUUGAGUUGAAAGUGAAGGAUUCUCCACUGUCCUCCUUGUCACACCAGGAGUACAAGUGGUAGUUGAACGCAAUACCAUCUAUCCGAGGGUAUCAAUUGAAGUUACGAUUUCGAAGGAAUUGAAGACUCGACCAUGUCGAUGACAAGAUUGACAACAAAUCUUUAGCAAUCGAGGUAGGAAAGCUCAAAGAAAACGCGAGGCUUGUCGUUCGAGAUGAUUCAGUUUCCUGUGUCGCCAAUUGAGAAUAGGAACAAGAAGAAGCUUCUGGGAUGCGUCAGAGCAUUUGAUCGGCAUUGCAACAUGGUGCUGGAAAAUGUUCGAGAGACGUGGACAAAG